AUGGAUGGUACAGCCGUUGGGUUCUUUAUUUGUAUCACCUGCAACAAAUUCAUCGACCGAGCUAGCUUCCAACUCGUUCUUGCCAUGGUUGUUGGUUGGUCCUACCUAGGCAAAAUCUCAAUCCAUUGUCUUUUCAGUUUACAUAGGGCUCUCCAUGCCCAAGAUGAGAAAAUCUUGCUGUCAAUUUGUUUGAUGCCACAAUUGGCGUCAUUUUCUUACCAUUAUAUUAUAUUUGCCACUGAAUGUUCAACCUUUAAUCUUUGCUUUUGCAAAGCCAGGCUUUAUGUACUGUCUGCUUGUGUUUGCUUUCUCUGCUGCAAAAGUAGCUCAUUCAUUCAUCGCCGAUUUGGCACGUGCGACCAAUGUGCACAUGCUGCAUUUAGAUUCCAGCCUAACUACUAG
rnacentral:rRNA from 1 species